rnacentral:misc_RNA from 1 species
UUUCCGUAGGUGAACCAGCGGAAGGAUCAUUCAUAAUAAGUGUUUUACUGCACUUUUUAAAAAUAGUACUCACCUUGUGUGCAAUGUUGUGUUUCUUUUCGGAGAAACACCUACACCAACCUAUAACCUUGAACCACUUUGUCUGAAAAACUAUUAUGAAUACUUAAUUCAAAAUACAACUUUCAACAACGGAUCUCUUGGCUCUC